rnacentral:rRNA from 1 species
AGCGAACGCUGGCGGCAGGCCUAACACAUGCAAGUCGAACGGAUCCUUCGGGAUUAGUGGCGGACGGGUGAGUAACACGUGGGAACGUGCCCUUUGGUUCGGAACAACUCAGGGAAACUUGAGCUAAUACCGGGAUGUGCCCUUCGGGGAAAGAUUUAUCGCCAUUGGAGCGGCCCGCGUCUGAUUAGCUAGUUGGUGGGGUAAAGGCCCACCAAGGCGACGAUCAGUAGCUGGUCUGAGAGGAUGGUCAGCCACAUUGGGACUGAGACACGGCCCAAACUCCUACGGGAGGCAGCAGUGGGGAAUCUUGCGCAAUGGGCGGAAAGCCUGACGCAGCCAUGCCGCGUGAAUGAUGAAGGUCUUAGGAUUAGUAAAUUCUUUCACCGGGACGAUAAUGACGGUACCCGGAGAAG